AAAGAAUGAAACUUCCUUACUGUUCACUAACCUACAUCUCAAUUACCUCCCAACAUGUUUGCAGCAAGUACCCUGUCGAUGGUAGGCAAGAGGAAGGUGUGACCCACAAAGAUCAAGGAAUCUAAGCCGGCCAAGGUUAAGCAUGAAUCGAGGAAAGGAAACAGAAAUCCUCUUCCUAGUCCUCUUUCCUCUGUUUUCUCCCCCUGGGUACCAGAAUUGCGACAGAGUGGGACGGCUCAGGCAACUGCAGGUCUUGGCCAGUGCUCUUCCUCACCCAGGCCAUGCAGCAUCAACACAGUCACCGUAGAACUCCUCUUAAGACAAGCAAAGGAACUUUCCAACCCAGUUGAGUGCACUUUUCCCAAGUGUGUGGUAAAAAGUUAAAUGACACUUUGUGAAAGGGAUCCUUAAGCUACAAAAACUUUUUCCCUCAUCACACUAAGCACGUGGUUUUGUCCUUGUAGGUGCAAAAGGGGCUGGAGUCAUUUGAUGAAUUCUGAAUGUUGUAAGGCUGCUUUUCUGGAAGGGUAAACAGGGAACCCUUUAGAUGCCAAGACCUUUUAGAAUAACGACCCCAUGAGCAAUCUCAGUUUAUUUCAGAAGAGGAAACUGAGGUGCAAAGGAUUGAAGUAACCUUCCAGAAGGUACACAGCUGGUGAGACAAAGCCUGGGCUGGGUCCCAAGCCUGCCUGACUCCGGACUCCCACACCCCACAGUGAUACCAGAAUCACCCUGAAAAUGGGAAACACGCUGCAGCUGCUGUCCUGAUUCCAGCCUCUGACCAGGAGAGCUGGAUUGACCAGGAAGCCAAUGAAGCUAAGUUUCAGGGCCCCCUGUCUGCCUAAGGCCUCUCCCAAGGCCCUGCACCAAAGUUUCUAUUUGUGACUUUGUUUUCUUAGAAAAAACUCCUCAAUUAUGUGAACCUCAGGCUUCACAAAAACCUGGUGACAAGUAACUCCUUAGAGGACUUGAGUUUUAGAAGGACAAGCUCCAAAAGCAUCUCUAGAUAGCCUCCAGAACCCUGCUGGUGUGACUCUUUUUGGAACUAGUUCUAAAGGCUGGAAAGUCCAAGACCAAGACACCAGCAGAUCCAGUGUCUGGUGAGAGCCCACUCUCUGAUUCACAGAAGGCUUCUUACUGUGUUGAAAAGACAUGACUCAACCCACCCAUCACUUAGCAGCCGUCUGGGUUAUCAGAUUGACUGUCAUAGCGGCACAGUGCUUGUGUUCAAGUAACCCUUAUUUUACUUCCUGAUGGCCCCAAAGUGCCAAGAGUAGCGAUGCUGGUGAUUCCGACAUGCCAGAAAGAGGCUGCAAAGUGCUUCCUGUAAGCGAAAAGCUGAAAGUUCUCAAUGUAAUAAGGAAAGAAAAAGAAAUCAUAUGCUGAGGUUGCUAAGAUCUAUGGUACUCAGGGAGUUUUGAGAUCUUCCAAGAUGCCAUCGAGGAACUGAAAAGUGCUGUCCAGCUGCAGUGAGGGCUUUUUAAAGGCAGUUCCAUGUCUACACCCCACUGAGUUCAGACUGUCCAAUGAACCACUGACAUUGUUACACAUGCGUGUUGUGGACAACUUGAGAAAACACUUGUCUGCAGGAAGAUGAAAUUAAAAUCAAGUGUGAUCCUACCACCGAAAGAUAAGUGUUACUGAUAUUUUUUGUUAAUAACAUUCCAGUUUUUUAUGUAGUUUUGGGGUAGCUUAUUAUUUUCAUGUGAUUUCAAACUUGGAGAAAGUUUCCAAGAUGAGUCCAAGGAGCUCUCAUAUGUUCCUCACCCAGAUCCACCAACUGGCCACAUUUUGUCCCAUUUGCUUUAUUAUUCCUUCUACCUCUCUCUCUCUAAAGUAUUAUUAUAUGUUAAAUAUAUCUUAAUAUAAUUAUAGUUAUGUUAAAUAUAUCUUAAUAUAGUUACAAAUAAUUAUGUUAAAUAUAUCUUAAUAUAAUUAUGUUAAAUGAUGUUAUGAAUAUUAAAAAUUAUAAUUUAAAUAAUAUUCUAAUACAGGCAGACAUUUAGUUUCUGAACCAUUUGGGACCAAGCUGAAAACAUCAUUUUCCUUUACACCAUUUUCCUUCAGUGCCAGAGGGGACCAGAGCAGUGAGAGGUUGUGGGGGGAUCCUGGGCCAGGAGCAUCCCCAUUUCCUGGAAUAAGAUAGUUCUCUUAAAUAACUACAGUACCAACAUAGAAAUCAGGAAAUUUAGCAUUGACACUAUUAACUAAUGCACAGCCCAUAAACAAAUCAUAUCAAUUGUUCCAAUAAUUUGUGUUUGUUUGUUUGUUUUGUUUUUUUAGACGGAGUUUCACUCUUGCUGCCCAGGCUGGAGUGCAAUGACUCAAUCUCAGCUCACUGCAACUUCCACCUCCCAGAGUGUCUCCCAGGCUAGAGUGAAGAUUUCAGCUCACUGCAGCCUGGACCUCCUGGGCUCAAGCGAAACUUCUGGCCUCAGGCCCCCUGAGUAGCUGGGACUACAGACGUAUGCCACCAUGCCCUGCUAAUUUUUUGUAUAGACAGGGUUUCACCAUGUUACUCAGGCUGUAGCAUCAUUUUAAUAGCUGCAUAAUUUCCAUGAUGCACACUGUGUUUACUAAUUAUAACUCCUAUUGUUUUGUCAAAUUUCAACAUUUUGUCAAGUUUUGCUACCAUUAACAAUGUCGCACAGAACAUUUUUAUAGAUAAUUCUUUAUGUCCAUCAGAGAUUAUUUCCUAAGGGUAAAUUCCUAGAACUGGAAUUGGUAGUUAAAGGUUACGCUUUUUUUUUUUUUUUUUUGAGAUGAGUCUCGCCCUGUUGCCCAGGCUGGAGUGCAGUGGCACGAUCUCAGCUUACUGCAGCCUCCACCUCAUGGGUUCAAGCAAUUCUUCUGCCUCAGCGUCCCGAGUAGCUGGGACUACAGGUGCCUGCCACCAUGCCCAGUUAAUUUUUGUAUUUUUAGUAGAGAUGGGGUUUCACCAUAUUGGCCAGGUUGGUCUCAAACUCCUGACUUCAUGAUCCACCCACCUGGGACUCCCAAAGUGCUGGGAUUACAGGCGUGAGCCACAGCACCUGGCCCUGGUUAUGCAUAUUUUUAAGGCUAAAAAGUGCCAUUAGUAGGGCCCUGCCUCAAAAGCAUUUUUCAAAUUUCCGCUCCCCAUCUUAGUGUGUGCAAGGGCCCAUUUUGCCAUCUGCCUCCCUCCAACAUAGGGUUUGGUCAUUUUCCAAAAUCUUUUGUUGCUUUAAUUUGUGUUUCUUUAAUUAGAAAAUUUGACUUUUUUUCCAUAUAUUUUGAGCCAUUUAUGUAACUCCUUUUCUUGAGUUUCCUAUUUAUAUCCUUCGCUUGUCUUCCUGUUGAGUUUUCCUCUUUUGUUAAAACAUAUGUAGAUUUUAUGGUUACUACUGUAUGAAAACUUUGUAAAUUCAGCUGUGAGUUCUUUGCUGACUGAAGAGUUCUGUGCUUUUUGUUUUAUUUUGUUUUAAUUUCCAAAUAGCAUUUCCUUUACUGGAUUUGUAAUUAAUUUUUCAAGUUAUGUCUUCUAGAAAAAGAGCAGGACCUGGAAGCAGGAGAGUUGAAAGGUCAAGAGCACACGCUUUGGGGUCAGGCAGACCUGCUGCUGAGUCCUGGCUUUGCCGGCAGACUUUGUCGCCUGAGGGGACCAUUCAGAGAGACUUAUCGGCAGGACGUGUACAAAGAGGACAGAAGAGCAGAUGCAGCCUCCAAGAAUGAGCUGCUGAGGACGACAGGGACGCAGCCAAUGACCUGAAAGAGCGUGAGCCAACGUCUGUCCAAGCUCUGGUCCUGCUUCGUGCCUGCCCUGUGAUACUGGGCAAGUUGCUCAUCCCUGGACUUCUCCUUUCUCCUCCAUAAAACACGGCUUUGGGAGCAACUUGCUCUCCAAGGGCCAUUCCAACUCUAACAUUAUAAUUUUAUCAUGUGGGAUUUGGCAUAAUUGGUUAUCUCUGAACGCUUACACUUUUUUUUUUUUUUUUUUUUGAGAUGGAUUCUCGCUCUGUUGCCCAGGCUGGAGUGCAGUGGCGCAAUCUCAGCUCACUGCAAGCCCCACCUCCCGGGUUCACGCCAUUCUCCUGCCUCAGCUUCCCGAGUAGCUGGGACUACAGGCGCCCUCCACCAGGCCCAGCUAAUUUUUUUUUUGUAUUUUUAGUAGAGACAGGGUUUCACCAUGUUAGCCAGGAUGGUCUUGAUCUCCUGACCUCGUGAUCCGCCCACCUCGGCCUCCCAGAGUGCUGGAACACUUACACUUUUAAGGUAUUUGUACACAUACACGAAGCAAAACAAGAGGCAGGAGGUGCAAACAGCCCCACGAACAAAUGCUCCAGGGCGUUUAGGAGAAACCCCGCACCUUGAACCUCUCUUCUCACCCAACCUGCUUUCCAGACCUUCCUUCCCUCCUGGCUAAACGCCCUGUAGAAGCACUAAUGUGUCCAUGUGCCUCUGGAAGCCAGGCUUUCCCUGGAAGCACAGCUGUAGUAGCUGACUACUCAGAAGACCCUAACUAUGCUGAUGUUGAUGGAAAGGGCUGAAUUCUUUGAAGCCUCAUGGUGGAAAUUUAAAGAAAAUAAUGUGAGAGCGUCACAGACAAUUGCACGUUCACCACCACAAAUGGUGCCAUCCCAGAGACAAAUAUGUAAUAGUUCAGAACUUGGGAAAAUGGCCCAGGAUCGAGCCAUGCUAAGAAUGGGAGCAAUUUGGCUGAUACAUAGCUGCCCUGUGCUCCAGCAGGGGGAAAAAAAAGGUUCUAAUUACCCAGCCGCAAUCCUGUAUUUAGAUGUAAAAGGGAGGAAAUAGCUGAGCUCUGUUCUAGUCACAGACAUGCCAAACGGGUCAAGAGAAAAGCCUUCUGCCCAGACCACUGCUGAGCCCACGGCUGGCCUGGGCCCAGGCUGCCCAGCCGAUGAGCCUCAUAUGGACCUCCAGAAGGCCACAGCGGCCCCACUUUAUCCUCUGCCUAUUUUGCCAGGACAUCGGCCUCAGACAAUUUCCUCCUCAAAGUUUCUUCACUCUCUUUGGUGUUCUGUUUCAUGCAAAUCUGUUGGGGAUGGGAGGAAUUAAGGACAGGGAGAUCAAAUGACAACCCCUGCCUCCUCAGUGAUUAAAAAAAAUCAGAGCUCAUCCGUAUGGCAGCGGCAUUUCUGACCUGGUCCAGCAUUCCUCCCUCACCCUGUGCUUUCUGAAACUCUCAUGCAUCUUCCGAAUGUCACCUGCUGCCAUGAGGUCAGCAUGGACGAGGGUCAGCGUGGAUCUCCGGUUCUACUAGGCUGCCAAAGCAGCAGAGACAAGCUUCAAUCCGAAGAUAUUUACGACCUGACAAAUACCCCAUCUCAAGAACUUACAGAAACCUCAGCAUGGACAGCCUGGAGUGAAAGGAUGCUUACUUCCUAGGAAGGGCAUUUCUGCUUGGGAGAUGCUCAGCUGUGCCUCAGUUUCCCUUAGUCUUCCUCUGAGCUGCAGGUAAUUGAGACUGAGAGGCUUUCCACACUUCCCAGAAGGGGCAGACUUGAUGGUGCUUCCUAUCUCCACGCAAGAGCAACUAUUGCAGAUCCUCACCUCCGACAGUGCUGAUGGAAACACCCACACCUGCUCGCAGCGGGUCUGGGCUUUCCUAGUCAAUCAUUUUACUUUCAGGGUGUAGAGGUAGGAGAAUGAAACAGAUUGCACAGCACUGGUGAAAAGAAAAGGAGAAAUUCAGGGAGGAGGAAUGAGGGAUCCUCUUUCUUGUGUGUGGGUGUUAGCUUGCCUCCCAACCACACUGACACUUGCUGUGCCAUUGAUUUGACUUUUCUCCUAUCUUAACAAUAACAAAUCAUUAAAAAAUCCGUUUAUCAAAAUAUAAAAUGG